GACAGAGGGUGCAAACGUUGUUCGGAAUUACUGGGCGUAAAGCGUGCGCAGGCGGUUCUGAAAGUCAGCUGUGAAAGCCCCCGGGCUUAACCUGGGAAUGGCGGUUGAAACUACAGGACUAGAAUCUGGCAGAGGGGGGUGGAAUUCCACGUGUAGCAGUGAAAUGCGUAGAGAUGUGGAGGAACACCGGUGGCGAAGGCGAUUUCUAUCUUAUACCUGACGCUGAGGCGCGAAAGCAAGAGGAUCAAACAGGA
rnacentral:rRNA from 1 species